rnacentral:lncRNA from 1 species
AAUAAUUCUCUAUUUUUUUUUAGGGGAAACUCCGCCCAAAUUUUGAGAGAGAAGAAGAAGAAGGGAGAGUUUGGGAGAUAUGAAGAAGGCUUGCUUGGAUAACAAGUUUGAUGCUUACAAGAAGUCAAUGUUUCACUUGAGAGGAGAUUUUUGGUAAGUUCUUCUUGAUUUCAUUUUCUUAAGAUUAUUUUCAAUUUGUUUUCAUCUAUUUAUUGAUUCUCGAGAUGAUGAUUGUAUGAGUUGUGAACAUUGCACAACCACAUUGUUGAUUUUGGGUAUUUUCUUUUCAUUUUUUAGUUCUAAGCUACUAUGCUUUAUUUUUGUCAUUUUAGGUGUUUGCAAGAUAUUUGAUCAUUUGUCUAAAUCAUUUUUCAAGCCUUGCUUGGUUGGGUUUUGCUUAUUUCUUAGUGGUUUUUAUUUAUUUAUUUAUUUUUUAUGGAAGCCCAUUGAGUUAAAAUAUGAUAUUGAGCUUAUAUCGGUUUAUGAUCUUUGAUGUUCCUUCUUUUGGUUAGUCUUAGGAUCUCAAUUUUCCCUUUAUUUUGAUGAUUUUUGAAAGUAUUUUGGUUGAUUUUGAAAUGAAAAUUGGGAACCACAUGUAUUUGAGGUUUUGUCAAAAUAAUUUUUGUAGGAAAUGCUCCAUGAAGCCUUUUUUUUUUUUGCCUUCCUUGGUCUCUUCUUAAUAAAUGAUUGUAAAAUCUUGUCUUUAAGAUAUUUUUUUUUACUAAGUUUCAAGCUUUUUUUUAUGGUCAAUCUCGUGGCCAAAGGUCAAGUCCCUUACCUUGGACUUUAGUCUUACCAUUAUUCUUGAAAAUAUGGAUAGUUGCUCUUAUUCUUUUACAAUUUUAAAAGGAUUUUCUAAACUAAUUUUAGAGAAUCAUUUUUCUGUCCUUGUGAGUACCUUUUCAUGAUCAUUAAGGGCUUGAUAUUAUGAUUAAUUUAUGAUUAUUAAUGGUUGUCAUUUGUCUUGGCAAACAUGACUUGAAUUCACAUGGGAGUAUACCUUUCUAUGGAUGCUUUCAUGUUCAUUUCAACCAUUUUUUUCAAAUCAGAGUGUUAAUUAGGCCUUCCAUGUCUCAUGUAAACCUAAUUCCAUAUUUUUAUUUUAGGGUUAUGAAGGAGUGGGAGCCCUAUAGUUGAUCUAUGGCCCCAAGCCUUAGCCAACAUCACUCAUUUCUUAAACACAUGAUUUUCAAUUUUUCUUGAUUUCGGAGACAUGAACUACCCUUGCAAAUUCGAAAUUAAUGGGGUUAUUUCUAGCCCUUAUGAGCCUUUUUCCAUGGUCAUUAAAGGGUUGGAAUGUCGAAUUGUCUAUGAAAAAUAAUUUGGGUUUGUGUCAAAGCCCAUAUAUCUUGAUUGCUAAGUUUCAGUUUCUUGUUGCCCUAUUUUGGACUCCCAAAAUGUUUUUGCAUAUCUGAACUUUUUGACUUAUUUUAAAUUAUUUUUAGGACUUGAAAUGUGUUUUAGACAUCUUGAAUGCCAAAUAUAUAUUAUUGAAAAAUUCUUUUGAAAGCUUGUUAAAGAAUUCAUUUUUCUCAAGUGUUUAUCUAUUGCUCUAUUUUCGUAUGCUGAAGUAUUUUUGAAAAUUGGUCCUAACUCUUUCAUUUUUAAUUGUUUUUAAGCUUGGUCUAUGUUCUAUACAUAUUAAUUGACUUAGGGAGCUUUGACCCUAUUAAAAAAAAUCCUUUUUUAUGCUUGUUGAAUAAUUCAAUCUUUGCAUGUUUGUUGUACAACCUUGUUUUUGAGAUGUGAGAUGUUUGAUGAAUUUUGUUUGGGUUCUUUGAGAUUUUGAAAUAUGUUCUAGACAUCUUGUAUAUGAUAUAGAUUUUUUACUCUUAUUUUUAUCUCAUCUUUAACCUUAUUAAAUAAUUCAAUCUUUGCAUGUUUUCUAAUGCUACCCUAUUUUACGAGUUGUGAUAUGUUUUAUGAAAUCUAUACUAUAUGGUGUAUGUUUGGGCUCCCUAGGCUUUUGAAAUGUGUUCUAUACAUUUUUUUUAUGCCAUAUAAUUUUUUCUUUGUUUUUUUAUCUUACCUUUUGCCUCAUUGAAUAAGUCUGCCUUUCAUACACUAGCUUGCUAGCUUAUUAUUGCACCUUUUAUUUGUGUAGUUAAAUCAUUCCUAAUUGGUACACUUUUGGCCUUCCUUGGAUUUUGAUUUGUGCAUUAUAUAUCUUAUAGAUGUUAGAUAAAGCAGACCCUUGUAGCAUGAUCCUCUUUAACCUAUUUUCGUUGAAUUUAUUUUGUAGGUGCCUAUUUGCUGCCUAGUUCUACCCCAUUUGCAUUUUAUGUAAAUCAUUCUCUUUUGAUGUUAGUUUUGUUAUCUUUGACCUUUGAUUUGAGUUGUAUAUGUUGGGUGAUCCCUGCUUUGUAUGAUAUCAUUACUUAUGUUUGUGAACUAACCUAUCCUUUCUUAUGUAAGCCUCCUGCCCUUGUUUUAGGCAUUAUUGAG